GACGAACGCUGGCGGCGUGCCUAACACAUGCAAGUCGAACGGGGUUGAGGUCUUCGGACCUUAACUUAGUGGCGAACGGGUGAGUAACGCGUGAGAAACCUGCCUUUCAGUGGGGGACAACAGUUGGAAACGACUGCUAAUACCGCAUAAUGUACGGAGGGGCAUCCCUUCUGUACCAAAGAUUUUAUCGCUUUGAGAUGGGCUCACGUCUGAUUAGCUGGUUGGUGAGGUAACCGGCUCACCAAGGCUUCGAUCAGUAGCCGGACUGAGAGGUUGGCCGGCCACAUUGGGACUGAGACACGGCCCAGACUCCUACGGGAGGCAGCAGUGGGGAAUAUUGGGCAAUGGGCGCAAGCCUGACCCAGCAACGCCGCGUGAAGGCGACGGCCCUAUGGGUCUUAAACUUCUUUUGUGAGGGAGCAAUAAGUCUCACGUGUGGACGAUGAGAGUACCUCACGAAUAAGCAUCGGCUAACUCCGUG
rnacentral:rRNA from 1 species